rnacentral:rRNA from 1 species
UCCGGAAACGGAAGCUAAUACCGGAUACGACGUACGGAGGCAUCUCCUGUACGUGGAAAGAACUUCGGUCAAGGAUGGACUCGCGGCCUAUCAGGUAGUUGGUGAGGUAACGGCUCACCAAGCCUACGACGGGUAGCCGGCCUGAGAGGGUGACCGGCCACACUGGGACUGAGACACGGCCCAGACUCCUACGGGAGGCAGCAGUGGGGAAUAUUGCACAAUGGGCGCAAGCCUGAUGCAGCAACGCCGCGUGAGGGAUGACGGCCUUCGGGUUGUAAACCUCUUU